GUGAGGAAUUUUCCGCAAUGGGCGAAAGCCUGACGGAGCAAUGCCGCGUGAAGGAUGAAGGCCUAUGGGUUGUAAACUUCUUUUCUCAGAAAAGAAUUAUGACGGUAUCUGAGGAAUAAGCAUCGGCUACCUCUGUGCCAGCAGCCGCGGUAAGACAGAGGAUGCAAGCGUUAUCCGGAAUGAUUGGGCGUAAAGCGUCUGUAGGUUGUUUAAAAAGUAUUCUGUCAAAGAUUAGGGCUUAACCCUAGAUAGGCAGAAUAAACUUUUAAGCUAGAGUAUGGUAGAGGCAGAAGGAAUUCCCGGUGGAGCUGUGAAAUGCGUAGAUAUCGGGAGGAACACCAAAGGCGAAGGAACACUGCUGGGCCAAUAAUAACAAUGAGAGACGAAAGCGAGGGGAGCAAAUGGGAUUAGAAACCCCUGUAGACC
rnacentral:rRNA from 1 species